AUCAAUGUACUCGUAUAUUAUACCAUAUUCUAGUAAGUACCAUAUUCAAAUAAACACUUCUUAUUCUUAUGUUUUCAUAGAUUCUUUUCCAAAUACAACAACAUAUUUUUAUGUAAUUUACUGCAUUUUAUUUGUGCUUUAUUUUUCAUAUACUUAACACAAUUAAAUAACUAAUACAAAUACAUACGUACUUAGAAUAAAAAUAUUUUUUAAAUCUACAACUAUAAAUUAAUAUACAGGUAAUUUACAAGGUACAUAUUUACAAAGAGUGGAGACCGCGUUUAAGCAAACGUAGUGUGGGACGCCCUCCAGCACGAUGGACCGACGAUAUAAAGCGGCUGGCGGGAAGUGGCUCGAUGAGGAAGGCUGAGGACCGGGUGUGGUGGCGCUCUAUAGGGAAGGCCUAUGUCCAACAGUGGACGUCCACAGGCUGAUGAUGAUGAUGAUAUUUACAAAUAAUAUAAGCACAGACACACCACCCAAGUGGUCUCAACUCAAAACUACUUUUUGGGGUUAGCCACUUUUUACCAAAAAAGUAUUUUCGACAAUAAUUUAAAAACUUGCUUAACAUACUGUUGGAAGUACCUUUUUUUUAAUCCAUUUCAAGUUAGUCCAUAACUGUGAUCACUGAUCACACAUGGUGGUAAGUGAUGAAGUGUUGUGCCUAAAUAAAUAAAUAAAUAAAUAAAGCCUUUAUUUCCAAUCAUUUGUUCAUUAAAUACAAUAAUUCAUAUUUUUCAGUAAACACAAUUAUUAUUUUAAUUAUUUGUUACAAUUCAUAGUAUGACUUAAU